rnacentral:rRNA from 1 species
UACAGAGGUCCCAAGCGUUGUUCGGAUUCACUGGGCGUAAAGGGUGCGUAGGUGGCGAGGUAAGUCGGAUGUGAAAUCUCCGAGCUCAACUCGGAAAUGGCAUUGGAAACUACCUUGCUCGAGGGUUGGAGGGGGGACUGGAAUGCUUGGUGUAGCAGUGAAAUGCGUAGAUAUCAAGCGGAACACCAGUGGCGAAGGCGAGUCCCUGGACAACUCCUGACACUGAGGCACGAAAGCCAGGGGAGCAAACGGG